rnacentral:tRNA from 1 species
UGGGGUGUAGCCAAGUGGUAAGGCAGAUGGUUUUGGUCCAUCCAUUCCGAGGUUCGAGUCCUUGCACCCCAG